GCUGAUGGAGCCAAGAAUUUUGGUACGAGUGGCGGAAGCGGUGGUUCUGGUAGCACUUCCGACAUCGGUAAAACAAUGGUUGCUCCUGGAUCUGGUGGACGACAAAGCGUUUAGAGGGAGGCUUUUGAGAGCAACCCUAAGAAGUUCUUUGAUGAUCGUAACUUCAAAGAGAAGAAAUGAACCGUUUAAAUGAAGAGCAAGUUCUCAAAAAGUGAUGAUAUAUCUUGUUUCUUAUUUUCUUCUUUGUUAGUGAUCCUCCAAGGCUCCACUAGUUC